CCCAAAUGUGCACGCAAAGAAAGAAGGCGUGGUUUCAGGAACAGCAGUAGUGUUGAUGCAGCCCUGUCAGUGAGACGCUGUGUUUCAGUGCAAUGCAC